GUACACUCCUGCGGGAGGCAGCAGUGGGGAAUAUUGGACAAUGGGCGCAAGCCUGAUCCAGCCAUGCCGCGUGAGUGAUGAAGGCCCUAGGGUUGUAAAGCUCUUUCACCGGUGAAGAUAAUGACGGUAACCGGAGAAGAAGCCCCGGCUAACUUCGUGCCAGCAGCCGCGGUAAUACGAAGGGGGCUAGCGUUGUUCGGAUUUACUGGGCGUAAAGCGCACGUAGGCGGACUAUUAAGUCAGGGGUGAAAUCCCGGGGCUCAACCCCGGAACUGCCUUUGAUACUGGUAGUCUUGAGUUCGGGAGAGGUGAGUGGAGUUCCGAGUGUAGAGGUGAAAUUCGCAGAUAUUAGGAGGAACACCAGUGGCGAAGGCGGCUCACUGGCUCGAUACUGACGCUGAGGUGCGAAAGCGUGGGGAGCAAACAGGAUUAGAAACCCCUGUAGUCCCAUGA
rnacentral:rRNA from 1 species